UAUUGGACAAUGGGCGAAAGCCUGAUCCAGCAACGCCGCGUGGGGGACGAAGGCCUUCGGGUUGUAAACCCCUGUCAGGUGGGACGAAGAGCCGGCGGCAAAUAGUCGUCGGCUUUGACGGUACCACCAGAGGAAGCCCCGGCUAACUCCGUGCCAGCAGCCGCGGUAAUACGGAGGGGGCGAGCGUUAUUCGGAAUCAUUGGGCGUAAAGGGCGCGUAGGCGGCCCCAUAAGUCUUGGGUGAAAGCCCUCGGCUCAACCGAGGAAUUGCCUUGGAUACUGUGGGGCUCGAGGCUGGAAGAGGGCAGUGGAAUUCCCGGUGUAGCGGUGAAACGCGUAGAUAUCGGGAGGAACACCAGUGGCGAAGGCGGCUGCCUGGGCCAGUUCUGACGCUGAGGCGCGAAAGCGUGGGGAGCAAACAGG
rnacentral:rRNA from 1 species